AAGGAAAGAUUUUAAGGGUAAUUUACUGAACACUUGGAGGCUAUUGGGGGAUGCUGUGUCCAUGAAAAUUAUUAUAAUUUGAGUCAUAUAUUUUACCCCCAGAAAAGUAGGUUUCAGUGUAGGGUGAUAUGAUAUUUUGUACCAAAUAAUAUUUUUACAUUAUUAUAUACUUUGGGGAUAAAAUAAUCCAAGCUUUCUAUUCCUGAUAUGGCAAUUGGUUGCUUUCCAGCCAUAUGUAGAAAUAUAAUAGCUAGUUCCACCAAGUCAAAAGCUUGACUCUAUCCCUAACAAUGACAUUUCUCCCCAGUAUUCUACUUUGAGUACAUUUCACCAAUUUACAUUGAAAAUUUUCUGGUCUAUUUUAUUUUAACAGAAUUCCCUAACUUUUUUUUUUAAUCAAAAAAUAAAAUGAUAAAACACUACAUGAUGUGAUAUAAUUCUAAAUGUGCUUCUAAGAGUGUAGAAAGAAAAGACCAUAUGGAUUCAGUGAAUAUUUGAACUGCUAAGCUGAAUCUCAAAUUAUUUUCAGCUUUAUUCAUCACUAAUUGUCUCCUGGGGUUUUGAACAAAUGAUGUUAAGGGAUGAAACCUUCAAAGUCAAUGCCUGACAGCUACUCUUAGUAAAAUAAAUACUAAGGACAAUUGGAUGGCUCUGAUGUACUGCAACAAUAAGCAUAGAUUUAUAGGUUAUAUAGGAAAUUAUUUGCCUAAGAGCCCUAUAGAGAAUAUCAUGCCUUAAUGGAGAAAUAAGAAAGAAGAAGAGAGGGAUAUUUCACUGACAAUUGGGAACAGGGAGAUAGGAGUAGGGAGAUAGAUAUUCGCAUCCACUUAAGCUCUUAAAAUGCAUUUCAAAGAGUAAAAGUGAUUCUUAAAAAUAUAUAAGGCACUUCUUUUUGAAGAAACACGAGGACUGAUUUUGAGGUUAAUUUACCAAAUGUUUUGAGGUCAAUGGAAGAUAGCUUCAAUCCACAGAGCCUGGCUUCAAUCACUCCCUGUACAAUGCUUACCAUGAGAACAGUAAUAGUAGUCAUCUUAACACUGGCAAGAGAUCCCAGAGGAUCUUCUCUGUCCAUGUAAAUUACAAUGGCAGCAAGGAAAUUGUAAGUUGACCCUGUAAAAUUCUCUGUCCUCCUUAGGUUUUAGAUCAGGUGCCAUGUGUACAGAAUAUUCAG